UACGUAGGGACCGAGCGUUGUCCGGGGUCAUUGGGCGUAAAGAGCGUGUAGGCGGCUGACCAAGUCCUGCGUGAAAUCUUGCGGCUCAACCGCAAGCGGUCGUGGGAAACUGGUCGGCUAGAGUGCGGGAGAGGAGAGUGGAAUUCCUGGUGUAGCGGUGAAAUGCGCAGAUAUCAGGUAGAACACCGGUGGCGAAGGCGGGUCUCUGGGCCAUUACUGACGCUGAGGAGCGAAAGCGUGGGGAGCGAACAGG
rnacentral:rRNA from 1 species